rnacentral:rRNA from 1 species
GACGAACGCUGGCGGCGUGCUUAACACAUGCAAGUCGAACGAAGUGGCGAACGGGUGAGUAACGCGUAAUCAACCUGCCCUUCAGAGGGGUACAACAGUUGGAAACGACUGCUAAUACCGCAUACUUAAGGAGGGGAUUGCGUCUGAUUAGCUAGUUGGAGGGGUAACGGCCCACCAAGUCGAUGAUCAGUAGACGGCCCGAGAGGACGAACGGCCACAUGGGGAUUGAGACAGGGCCCAGACUCAUACGGGAGGCAGCAGUGGGGAUGCUUCCGCAAUGGACGAAAGUGUGACGGAGCAAAGCCGCGUGAGUGAUGAGGGCCUUCGGGGUGGAAAGCUCUGUUAAGCGGGACGCGGUACCGGAAGAGAAAGCCACGGCUAACUACGUGCCAGCCGCCGCGGUAAUAC